GGAGCAUUUUAAUGUGGUAUUUUAAUAGUUAAUUCCUCACAUUUUGCUUAGUUAAUUCCUUAACGAAUCGAUUUUUAACUCAAUUUCUAUUUUCUUAGGUACAUUGGAGUAAAUGAUGGUGAAAUAAGCAUUAGGUCCACACUUACCUAUAAAUGGUGGAGAAAAAUGGAAAUGUACUAAAAUGUCAAUUUUACACAUUUUCCUACUCCGGCUAGGAGAAACCAAGCCAAGCAAGGAAGAAGGAGCGGCCGCCGGACCAAAUGAACUUCAAAUGAGCUGAAACUUUCCAGAUCCAUUCUAGACAGCCCAAGGAUCAUUUCUUAUGAAGAGUGCAAGAACUUUUGUUGAGUGGAAGGCCUUCAAACAAUCAACCCAAUUUUCUACAGAAGCAAAACUGGAAAACUGGACCUGUAAGAGGUCCAGCAGCAUUUUCGGCCCAACCACAUGGAAUAAAAAUCUGAAAUUUUACCAGGGUGAUCUACACUCAUAAUGGAACAUUUUUUAUGAAGAGGUCAUAGUGAAAUUGGGAAUGCUUGUUGGAGAAAUAAUUGAAGGAAUAAAGGGGCAGAAACUGAUCUAAAAAACAGCUCAACAUCACAUGUUCAUGUUUCCUACCCACAUGAAGAAAGCUAGAUGCUUUUCUCUUUUUCCUUGGAUAUAUUUUUCUGCUCCAAUAGAUCAUCAUCACUUCCAUACUUCUACACCUUCAUGCCUUGCUUUCAUUUCAUCAUUACUCCAUCUUUUCCAUAUUUUACAAACCACUUUCAUUAUUUUUCUUCCAUUUAUCAUUUCACUCUUCUUUUUCUUCCCUAUAUAAACACCUUCUCCUCUCACUCUAAACACAUUCCUUCAUCCAUUUCAUCUUCUUUGUCUCUCCAUUUCCAUUCCAUUUUUCUCUCCAUUCUCUAGUUGCAAAAUUCUGCGUUUUCAAGUAAGAAGAAGAAGAAGAAGAAGGAGCCGGGAAUAUCAUAUCCUCCAUCGUCCACCUUGAAGGCUUGCUUCCAAGAUUCAAGAUUUCAACGUUUCAAGCACUCCAUCUCCAUCUCCAACUCACGGUGUGUACCCUCAAUCCCCGGAAUAGAACGAUCCCUAUUUGCUUAUACUACUAACGAUGUUUUCAGGGUUAAAUUAUGCGCUUGCUUUGAGCGUAUCAAUUUUUGGCGCCGUUGCCGGGGAUUGAAAAAUCACUUGUUUUUGUUUAUAAUUGUUGUAUAUAAACUGUUUGAUACUUAGUUUAAAUUAACUAGGUUGUUUUUUUUUAUUGUUGAAUACGAGUUUAAUUGUGAGUUGUAAAUAAAAGAAGGAAUAGGUGAAGUCGUGUUUAUUAAUAUUGGCCUAAACCCCUUAUUGGUACCUAGUUCAGGUCCCUUAAGGUUGAGGGCGGCCUUUAUUAACAUUCAUUGAACUGUCUAACACACUUAGGACCUUUUACAUCCUAGUAAGAAUAUCCUAUGUGAGAUGGUGUCUAGGAAGGGGAUAACGUUCAUGACGGGUUUUUGAAUCCAGAAGUGCUUAUAAAUGGGCUUAGCUCAUGCCAAAAUGGAUUUUUCCUCUCGUGUUCACCCUCCCCUACCUGGCCAUUUCAGUAAGGUUGCCCAACGGAUGUAGGAGGGACUUUGUGUCUAGACGACUAUACUUGGGCCGCACGUCCACUUGAUUUACCGCUUGGAAUUAGAUUUGAUAUCAAUAAUGUUUAUAACAAAAGAAAUACUUGUACAUACUCUUUACGUGUAAAUUAUUUUGUUGUUUCACACUUUAUACUUGUAAAAAUACUUUUUACGUUUUAUACUCACUUGUGUACUUAACUUGUGUCUUAUGUACAAAAUACUUGUAAAUUAUACUUGUAGUUUGUAAUUCAUAGUUACUUGUUUAUUUUUUUUUGUAUUUCUUUGUUAAUAUUAAGUUACUAACUUUAUUUAAUGUAGGUACCGUCUGGCUGCAAGACGUAAAAUACAAGCGCUGCUUGGGAGGCAACCCAAUUCAGAAUAUAAUCAGAUUUGCUUUCUCUUCCCCUUUUACUCCUCCAUUUUCUUUUUGUUUUAGUAGUUAUUUUCGUAAAUUCCAUCCCUAUAUGCUUACUUAUUUCAUUGCAUGCUUUUAAUUGAUUACAUUGAGGAUAAUGCAAUAUUUAAGUGUGGGGGAAGGGAUUUAUAUUUUUGUCUUUCAUUUUGAAUCCUAUAAAUAUUUUUGUCUUUCAUUUUGUGUCCUAUAAAUAUUUUUGAGUCCUAUAUUUUUU